AGCAGCCGCGGUAAUUCCAGCUCCAAUAGCGUAUAUUAAAGUUGUUGCAGUUAAAAAGCUCGUAGUUGAAUUUCGAGAUCAAAUUGUUGGUCGUGCCUUGGUACGCACUGGCAUUAUUGGUUUCUCCCUUCUGACGAACCAUGAUGUCAUUAAUUUGGUGUCUUGGGGAAUCAGGACUGUUACUUUGAAAAAUUAGAGUGUUUAAAGCAGGCUCACGCUUGAAUACAUUAGCAUGGAAUAAUGAAAUAGGACGUUUGAUUCUAUUUUGUUGGUUUCUAGGAUCGACGUAAUGAUUAAUGGGGAUAGUUGGGGGCAUUAGUAUUCAAUUGUCAGAGGUGAAAUUCUUGGAUUUAUUGAAGACUAACUACUGCGAAAGCAUUUGCCAAGGAUGUUUUCAUUAAUCAAGAACGAAAGUUAGGGGAUCGAAGACGAUCAGAUACCGUCGUAGUC
rnacentral:rRNA from 1 species